GAGUGUUUUCAGAGAUUAGAAUGUGAGUCUGAGUGGACUAAGUGGGGGAUGAUCUGCCCUCAUUGUUGGGAGGCACCAACUACUUGACCAGGGUCCCAAACAGAACAAAUAUAGAAGGCAAAUUGGUCUCUCUCUGAGAUCUGGGACAGACUUUUCUUCUCCUGUCUUGGACCCAGAACUCCAGGUUUGCCAGCCUUCGGACUCCGGAACUUACACCAGUGGCCCCCUGGAUCCUGAGGCUUUUGGCCUCAGAUGGAUAGUUGCACCAUCAGCUUUCCUGGUUCUGAGGCCUUUGGAGUUGGACUGAACCAUGCUACCGGUAUCCCAAGGUCUCCAGCUUUCGGAUGGCCUCACCGUGGGUCUUUUCAGC
rnacentral:lncRNA from 10 species